rnacentral:rRNA from 1 species
GAGGAAUAUUGGGCAAUGCCCGCAAGGGUGACCCAGCAACGCCGCGUGGAGGAUGAAUGUCGUAAGAUUGUAAACUCCUGUUAGAGGGGAAGACUAGUACCGGUUGGACCGGUAUAUGACUGUACCCUCAGAGAAAGCCCCGGCUAACUACGUGCCAGCAGCCGCGGUAAUACGUAGGGGGCAAGCGUUGUCCGGAUUUACUGGGUGUAAAGGGCGCGCAGGCGGGAUAAAAAGUCAGUGGUGAAAUCCUACAGCUUAACUGUAGAACUGCCUUUGAUACUUUUAUUCUUGAGUUCGGGAGAGAGAGAUGGAAUUCCAGGUGUAGUGGUGAAAUACGUAGAUAUCUGGAAGAACACCAGUUGCGAAGGCGGUCUCUUGGUCCGACACUGACGCUGAGGCGCGAAAGCGUGGGGAGCAAACA